AAGUCGUAACAAGGUCUCCGUUGUGAACCGAGCCGUGGGACAUCGAUUACAGAGGUUGCAAAGCUCCCACCCUUUGUGACGACUACCAUUGCUUCGCGGCAGACCCCUCUGGGGCCUAGCCUUUACGGGUACCCCGCCGGAGUCCUACAAACUCUUGAUUUUUUGGCCAUCUCUGAGUAGCUUAUAAAUAAGUUAAAA
rnacentral:misc_RNA from 1 species